CCUAAUACCAAGUAACUAUAUAAACCCUUACCAACUAUUGGAUGAUUCCAUAACCUAUGGAAGCCACUAUGCUUGAACUAGUAACAAGAAUAUGACUUUCUCCUAAAUAUUAAUGUAAGCCGCAACAGACAAACUAACGGCAAUUAACGCUAAUAAACUAACUACAACAACCCCCAAGAAAAACUUGUAAAAUACAACGUUACCCUUACACAAGCAUAUUUCAGGAAAGAUUAAAAAAAAGAGAAGGAACUCGGCAAACCUUGACCCCGCCUGUUUACCAAAAACAUCGCCUCUUGCUAAAAUAUAAGAGGUCUAGCCUGCCCAGUGAAUAUUAAACGGCCGCGGUACCCUAACCGUGCUAAGGUAGCACAAUUACUUGUCCUUUAAAUGGGGACUAGAAUGAAAGGCAUCACGAGGGUCAUACUGUCUCCUCUUUUUAAUCAGUGAAACUGACCUCCCCGUGAAAAGGCGGGAAUCAAAAUAUUAGACGAGAAGACCCCAUGGAGCUUUAGACACUAAGUAAAUCUAAGCCUUCAUUCCACCCUAGCCCAAGAUUACUACCUUUAAGUCUUCGGUUGGGGCAACCAUGGAGUAAAAAUCAACCUCCAUACCGAAUGGAUUAUUCCUUAUUCAAGAACAACCUUUCUAAAAAACAGAAUACUGACGCCAACUGAUCCGAAAUCGAUCAAUGAACCAAGUUACCCUGGGGAUAACAGCGCUAUCUACCUCGAGAGCCCUUAUCGACAGGUAGGUUUACGACCUCGAUGUUGGAUCAGGGUAUCCUAGUGGUGCAGCCGCUAC
rnacentral:rRNA from 1 species